rfam:Triticum aestivum genome assembly, contig: Triticum_aestivum_CS42_TGACv1_scaffold_404357_5BL
CAGCUACUCCCUUUGUCCCAAAUUUCUUGUCUUAGAUUUGUCUAGAUACAUACAUCCGUAUCUAGACAAAUCUAAGACAAGAAUUUUGGGACGGAGGGAGUACUUU